rnacentral:rRNA from 1 species
GACGAACGCUGGCGGCGUGCCUAAUACAUGCAAGUCGAACGCAGUGGGGACGGGUGAGUAACACGUGGGUAACCUCCCAUCAGAAGGGAUACCACUUGGAAACAGGUGCUAAACCCAUACUGAUGGAUGAUCCCUCGGUGCAUUAGCUAGUUGGUGAGGUAACGGCUCACCAAGGCCACGAUGCAUCGCCGACCUGAGAGGGUGAUCGGCCACACUGGGACUGAGACACGGCCCAGACUCCUACGGGAGGCAGCAGUAGGGAAUAUUCGGCAAUGGACGAAAGUCUGAUCGAGCAACGCCGCGUGAGUGAAGAAGGGCUUAGGAUUGUAAAACUCUUUUGUUAGAGAGGCGGUAUCUAACCAGAAAGCCACGGCUAACUACGUGCCAGCAGCCGCGGUAAUUC